rnacentral:rRNA from 1 species
GAUACCGUCAGUAACGGCGAGUGAACGCGGUAGAGCCUAAACCGAAUCCUGCAAGGGAGAUGUGGUGUUAUAAGCUGGUCUAAACGUUUUGAUCUGGAAGUCGAAGUGGCCUGGAAUGGCCUGCCAUAGAGUGUGAGAGCCACGUAGUCGUAACAGAUCAAUACCGAGACCAUGACUUGAGUACCGUGCGUCGGAAAUCGCGCGGGAAUUGGGGGUCACCAACCUCCAAGGCUAAAAUACAACUUGAGACCGAUAGCGUAGUAGUAGUGUGAACGAAAAGCUGAAAAGUACCCCCAAAUAGGGAGGUGCAAAGAGCCUGAAAUUGGCUGGCGAUAGUGCGUUAGGGCGCCAAAGGAUCUUUCUUUCGAAGGAAACGGUGGCAACGCCGCAGUACGAGAGAGACUGCCAGCGUUCUAACAUGCGUUUUGAAGAACGAACCAGGGAGUGCAUAUUGGCGGCGAGGCUAAUUCUUUAACAGAGGAAGCCGUAGCGAAAGCGACAAGCGCGCAUGAGAAGAGGCGU